CAAUAGCGUAUAUUAAAGUUGUUGCAGUUAAAAAGCUCGUAGUUGGAUUUCGGGGUGGCCUGCCUGGUCCACCGCAAGGUGAGUACUGGUCAGCCGCCCUUCCUCUCGAAAGCCCCGACUGCUCUUCAUUGCAGUGGUCGGGUAGUUCGGGACGUUUACUUUGAAAAAAUUAGAGUGUUCAAGGCAGGCUAUCGCCUGAAUACAUUAGCAUGGAAUAAUGGAAGAGGACCUCGGUCCUAUUUUGUUGGUUUCUAGGGCCGAAGUAAUGAUUAAGAGGGACAGUUGGGGGCAUUCGUAUUUAAUUGUCAGAGGUGAAAUUCUUGGAUUUAUGAAAGACGAACUAGUGCGAGAGCAUUCGCCAAGGAUGUUUUCAUUAA
rnacentral:rRNA from 1 species